AAAAGGUAGUUUUCGUAUUAAGAAUAAUACCGCGUACUCUCACUCGCGCUCUCUUAUCUCUCUCCGUUAGCGACCACCAUCCUCGACAUGUCAGGCAGAGAAGGAGGCAAGAAGAAGCCCCUGAAGGCUCCUAAGAAGCAGAACUCAGACAUGGAUGAUGACGAGAAGGCGUUUAAACAGAAACAGAAGGAGGAAAACAAAAAGAUGGAAGAAAUGAGGAAGCGAGCUUCUGCAGGAGGUCCUUUAGUGGGAGUCUGUGUACUUGC
rnacentral:misc_RNA from 1 species